rnacentral:rRNA from 1 species
AGCGUACACGGUGGAUGCCCUGGCAGUCAGAGGCGAUGAAGGACGUGCUAAUCUGCGAUAAGCGUCGGUGAGGUGAUAUGAACCGUUAUAACCGGCGAUUUCCGAAUGGGGAAACCCAGUGUGUUUCGACACACUAUCAUUAACUGAAUCCAUAGGUUAAUGAGGCGAACCGGGGGAACUGAAACAUCUAAGUACCCCGAGGAAAAGAAAUCAACCGAGAUUCCCCCAGUAGCGGCGAGCGAACGGGGAGGAGCCCAGAGCCUGAAUCAGUGUGUGUGUUAGUGGAAGCGUCUGGAAAGGCGCGCGAUACAGGGUGACAGCCCCGUACACAAAAAUGCACAUAUUGUGAGCUCGAUGAGUAGGGCGGGACACGUGGUAUCCUGUCUGAAUAUGGGGGGACCAUCCUCCAAGGCUAAAUACUCCUGACUGACCGAUAGUGAACCAGUACCGUGAGGGAAAGGCGAAAAGAACCCCGGCGAGGGGAGUGAAAAAGAACCUGAAACCGUGUACGUACAAGCAGUGGGAGCCUCUUUAUGGGGUGACUGCGUACCUUUUGUAUAAUGGGUCAGCGACUUAUAUUCUGUAGCAAGGUUAACCGAAUAGGGGAGCCGAAGGGAAACCGAGUCUUAACUGGGCGUUAAGUUGCAGGGUAUAGACCCGAAACCCGGUGAUCUAGCCAUGGGCAGGUUGAAGGUUGGGUAACACUAACUGGAGGACCGAACCGACUAAUGUUGAAAAAUUAGCGGAUGACUUGUGGCUGGGGGUGAAAGGCCAAUCAAACCGGGAGAUAGCUGGUUCUCCCCGAAAGCUAUUUAGGUAGCGCCUCGUGAAUUCAUCUCCGGGGGUAGAGCACUGUUUCGGCAAGGGGGUCAUCCCGACUUACCAACCCGAUGCAAACUGCGAAUACCGGAGAAUGUUAUCACGGGAGACACACGGCGGGUGCUAACGUCCGUCGUGAAGAGGGAAACAACCCAGACCGCCAGCUAAGGUCCCAAAGUCAUGGUUAAGUGGGAAACGAUGUGGGAAGGCCCAGACAGCCAGGAUGUUGGCUUAGAAGCAGCCAUCAUUUAAAGAAAGCGUAAUAGCUCACUGGUCGAGUCGGCCUGCGCGGAAGAUGUAACGGGGCUAAACCAUGCACCGAAGCUGCGGCAGCGACACUAUGUGUUGUUGGGUAGGGGAGCGUUCUGUAAGCCUGUGAAGGUGGCCUGUGAGGGUUGCUGGAGGUAUCAGAAGUGCGAAUGCUGACAUAAGUAACGAUAAAGCGGGUGAAAAGCCCGCUCGCCGGAAGACCAAGGGUUCCUGUCCAACGUUAAUCGGGGCAGGGUGAGUCGACCCCUAAGGCGAGGCCGAAAGGCGUAGUCGAUGGGAAACAGGUUAAUAUUCCUGUACUUGGUGUUACUGCGAAGGGGGGACGGAGAAGGCUAUGUUGGCCGGGCGACGGUUGUCCCGGUUUAAGCGUGUAGGCUGGUUUUCCAGGCAAAUCCGGAAAACCAAGGCUGAGGCGUGAUGACGAGGCACUACGGUGCUGAAGCGACAAAUGCCCUGCUUCCAGGAAAAGCCUCUAAGCAUCAGGUAACAUCAAAUCGUACCCCAAACCGACACAGGUGGUCAGGUAGAGAAUACCAAGGCGCUUGAGAGAACUCGGGUGAAGGAACUAGGCAAAAUGGUGCCGUAACUUCGGGAGAAGGCACGCUGAUAUGUAGGUGAAGCGACUUGCUCGUGGAGCUGAAAUCAGUCGAAGAUACCAGCUGGCUGCAACUGUUUAUUAAAAACACAGCACUGUGCAAACACGAAAGUGGACGUAUACGGUGUGACGCCUGCCCGGUGCCGGAAGGUUAAUUGAUGGGGUUAGCGGUAACGCGAAGCUCUUGAUCGAAGCCCCGGUAAACGGCGGCCGUAACUAUAACGGUCCUAAGGUAGCGAAAUUCCUUGUCGGGUAAGUUCCGACCUGCACGAAUGGCGUAAUGAUGGCCAGGCUGUCUCCACCCGAGACUCAGUGAAAUUGAACUCGCUGUGAAGAUGCAGUGUACCCGCGGCAAGACGGAAAGACCCCGUGAACCUUUACUAUAGCUUGACACUGAACAUUGAGCCUUGAUGUGUAGGAUAGGUGGGAGGCUUUGAAGUGUGGACGCCAGUCUGCAUGGAGCCGACCUUGAAAUACCACCCUUUAAUGUUUGAUGUUCUAACGUUGGCCCGUAAUCCGGGUUGCGGACAGUGUCUGGUGGGUAGUUUGACUGGGGCGGUCUCCUCCUAAAGAGUAACGGAGGAGCACGAAGGUUGGCUAAUCCUGGUCGGACAUCAGGAGGUUAGUGCAAUGGCAUAAGCCAGCUUGACUGCGAGCGUGACGGCGCGAGCAGGUGCGAAAGCAGGUCAUAGUGAUCCGGUGGUUCUGAAUGGAAGGGCCAUCGCUCAACGGAUAAAA